AUUGAACGCUGGCGGCAGGCCUAACACAUGCAAGUCGAGCGGUAGCACAGAAGAGCUUGCUCUUUGGGUGACGAGCGGCGGACGGGUGAGUAAUGUCUGGGAAACUGCCUGAUGGAGGGGGAUAACUACGGGAAACGGUAGCUAAUACCGCAUAACGUCGCAAGACCAAAGUGGGGGGCCUUCGGGCCUCACACCAUCGGAUGUGCCCAGAUGGGAUUAGCUAGUAGGUGGGGCAAUGGCUCACCUAGGCGACGAUCCCUAGCUGGUCUGAGAGGAUGACCAGCCACACUGGAACUGAGACACGGUCCAGACUCCUACGGGAGGCAGCAGUGGGGAAUAUUGCACAAUGGGCGCAAGCCUGAUGCAGCCAUGCCGCGUGUAUGAAGAAGGCCUUCGGGUUGUAAAGUACUUUCAGCGGGGAGGAAGGCGGUGAAGUUAAUAGCUUCACCGAUUGACGUUACCCGCAGAAGAAGCACCGGCUAACUCCGUGCCAGCAGCAGCCGCGG
rnacentral:rRNA from 1 species